rnacentral:miRNA from 1 species
UCUCUACCUAGCAAUCCUCACGUA